GUUAUAUGGUCAAGUGAAGAAGCGCAUACGGUGGAUGCCUUGGCAGUCAGAGGCGAUGAAAGACGUUGUAGCCUGCGAUAAGCUUUGGGGAGUCGGCAAACAGACUGUGAUCCAGAGAUCUCUGAAUGGGGAAACCCACCUAACGUAAGUUAGGUAUCUUAUAGUGAAUACAUAGCUAUAAGAGGCGAACGCGGGGAACUGAAACAUCUAAGUACCCGUAGGAAAAGAAAUCAACCGAGAUUCCCUUAGUAGUGGCGAGCGAACGGGGACUAGCCCUUAAGUGGCUUAGAGAUUAGUAGAAGGCUCUGGAAAGUGCCGCCAUAGUGGGUGAUAGCCCUGUAUACGAAAAUCUCUUAGUCAUGAAAUCGAGUAGGACGGAGCACGAGAAACUUUGUCUGAAUAUGGGGGGACCAUCCUCCAAGGCUAAAUACUACUGACUGACCGAUAGUGAACCAGUACCGUGAGGGAAAGGCGAAAAGAACCCCGGAGAGGGGAGUGAAAUAGAACCUGAAACCGUAUGCGUACAAGCAGUGGGAGCCCGAUCACUCAAUAACAUUGAGUGGCACAAUUUUGAUGACACACAUGGGUUGUUUAGGUAACAAUAUUUGCUUGCAAAUGUUGGUCAACACACUAAACAAGCAGUGUUAUUGAGGAUCGGGUGACUGCGUACCUUUUGUAUAAUGGGUCAGCGACUUAUUUUCAGUGGCAAGCUUAACCGAAUAGGGGAGGCGUAGCGAAAGCGAGUCUUAAUAGGGCGACAGUCGCUGGGAAUAGACCCGAAACCGGGCGAUCUAUCCAUGGGCAGGUUGAAGGUUGGGUAACACUAACUGGAGGACCGAACCGACUAUCGUUGAAAAGCUAGCGGAUGACCUGUGGAUCGGAGUGAAAGGCUAAUCAAGCCCGGAGAUAGCUGGUUCUCCUCGAAAGCUAUUUAGGUAGCGCCUCGUGUAUCACUGCUGGGGUAGAGCACUGUUUUGGCUAGGGGGUCAUCCCGACUUACCAACCCAAUGCAAACUCCGAAUACCAGCAAGUGCGAGCACGGGAGACACACGGCGGGUGCUAACGUCCGUCGUGGAAAGGGAAACAACCCAGACCGUCAGCUAAGGUCCCAAAGUUAUGGUUAAGUGGGAAACGAUGUGGGAAGGCUUAGACAGCUAGGAAGUUGGCUUAGAAGCAGCCAUCUUUUAAAGAAAGCGUAAUAGCUCACUAGUCGAGUCGGCCUGCGCGGAAGAUGUAACGGGGCUCAAACCAUACACCGAAGCUACGGACAUAGACAUUCCACUUAAAAUCAUUCAAUUGUUUACGCUUGCGAGCCGUUAGGCGAGCAAAGCACACCCUCACGUUGAGGGAAGUAAAAGUAAAAUAAACAGUGGUUUUAAGGGAAUGUCUAUGUGGUAGAGGAGCGUUGUGUAAGCCGUUGAAGGUGAGUUGAGAAGCUUGCUGGAGGUAUCACAAGUGCGAAUGCUGACAUGAGUAACGAUAAUGAGUGUGAAAAACACUCACGCCGAAAGACCAAGGUUUCCUGCGCAACGUUAAUCGACGCAGGGUGAGUCGGCCCCUAAGGCGAGACUGAAAAGUGUAGUCGAUGGGAAACAGGUUAAUAUUCCUGUACUUCUAAUUAUUGCGAUGGAGAGACGGAGAAGGCUAGGCCAUCAGGGCGUUGGUUGUCCCUGUUUAAGGUGGUAGGCAGAGAUCUUAGGAAAAUCCGGGAUUUUGUUAAUGCCGAGAGCUGAUGACGAGCGUUCUUUAGAAUGCGAAGUGGUUGAUGCCAUGCUUCCAAGAAAAACUUCUAAGCUUCAGAUAAUUAGGAACCGUACCCCAAACCGACACAGGUGGUUGGGUAGAGAAUACCAAGGCGCUUGAGAGAACUCGGGUGAAGGAACUAGGCAAAAUGGCACCGUAACUUCGGGAGAAGGUGCGCUGGUGAGGGUGAAGUAUUUACUACGUAAGCCUUUGCUAGUCGAAGAUACCAGGCCGCUGCGACUGUUUAUUAAAAACACAGGACUCUGCAAACUCGAAAGAGGACGUAUAGGGUCUGACGCCUGCCCGGUGCUGGAAGGUUAAUUGAUGGGGUUAGCGUAAGCGAAGCUCUUGAUCGAAGCCCCAGUAAACGGCGGCCGUAACUAUAACGGUCCUAAGGUAGCGAAAUUCCUUGUCGGGUAAGUUCCGACCUGCACGAAUGGCGUAACGAUGGCGGCGCUGUCUCCACCCGAGACUCAGUGAAAUUGAAAUCGCUGUGAAGAUGCAGUGUAUCCGCGGCAAGACGGAAAGACCCCGUGAACCUUUACUAUAGCUUUGCACUGGACUUUGAAGUUGUUUGUGUAGGAUAGGUGGGAGGCUUUGAAACUGCGACGCUAGUUGCAGUGGAGCCAACCUUGAAAUACCACCCUGGCAACUUUGAGGUUCUAACUCUGGUCCGUUAUCCGGAUCGAGGACAGUGUAUGGUGGGUAGUUUGACUGGGGCGGUCUCCUCCUAAAGAGUAACGGAGGAGUACGAAGGUGCGCUCAGACCGGUCGGAAAUCGGUCGUAGAGUAUAAAGGCAAAAGCGCGCUUAACUGCGAGACCAACAAGUCGAGCAGGUACGAAAGUAGGUCUUAGUGAUCCGGUGGUUCUGUAUGGAAGGGCCAUCGCUCAACGGAUAAAAGGUACUCCGGGGAUAACAGGCUGAUACCGCCCAAGAGUUCAUAUCGACGGCGGUGUUUGGCACCUCGAUGUCGGCUCAUCACAUCCUGGGGCUGAAGCCGGUCCCAAGGGUAUGGCUGUUCGCCAUUUAAAGUGGUACGCGAGCUGGGUUUAGAACGUCGUGAGACAGUUCGGUCCCUAUCUGUCGUGGACGUUUGAGAUUUGAGAGGGGCUGCUCCUAGUACGAGAGGACCGGAGUGGACGAACCUCUGGUGUUCCGGUUGUCACGCCAGUGGCAUUGCCGGGUAGCUAUGUUCGGAAGAGAUAACCGCUGAAAGCAUCUAAGCGGGAAGCUUGCCUCAAGAUGAGAUCUCACUGGAGCUUUAAGCUCCCUGAAGGGCCCUUGAAGACUACAAGGUUGAUAGGUUGGGUGUGUAAGUGCUGUGAGGCAUUGAGCUAACCAAUACUAAUUGCCCGUGAGGCUUGACCAUAUAACACCCAAACAAUU
rnacentral:rRNA from 1 species